AUCGAACGCUGGCGGCAGGCCUAACACAUGCAAGUCGAACGGUAACAGGAAGAAGCUUGCUUCUUUGCUGGCGUGUGGCGGACGGGUGUGUAAUGUCUGGGAAACUGCUUGAUGGAGGGGGUUAAUUACUGGAAACGGUAGCUAAUACCGCUUAACGUCGCUAUACCAAAGUGGGGGCUUUUCGGGCCUCUUGCCAUCGGAUGCGCCCAGAUGGGCUUGGCUAGUAGGUGGGGUAACGGCUCACCUUGUCGACGUACCCUAGCGGGUCUGGGAGGAGGACCAGCAACCCGGGAACUGAAACACGCUCCAGACUCCUACGGAGGGCAGCAGUGGGGAAUAUUGCACAAUGGGGGAAAGCCGAAUGCAGCAAUGCCGGGUGGAGGAAAAAGGCCUUCGGGUUGUAAAGUACUUUCAGCGGGGAGGAAGGGAGUAAAGUUAAUACCUUUGCUCAUUGACGUUACCCGCAGAAGAAGCACCGGCUAACUCCGUG
rnacentral:rRNA from 1 species